rnacentral:rRNA from 1 species
UAGGGCAUCUUGGACAAUGGGCGAAAGCCUGAUCCAGCCAUGCCGCGUGAGUGAAGAAGGCCCUAGGGAUGUAAAGCUCUUUUGGCGGGGACGAUAAUGACGGUACCCGCAGAAUAAGCCCCGGCUAACUUCGUGCCAGCAGCCGCGGUAAUACGAAGGGGGCUAGCGUUGUUCGGAAUUACUGGGCGUAAAGCGCACGCAGGCGGAUUGGUAAGUUAGAGGUGUAAUCCCGGGGCUCAACCUCGGAAUUGCCUUUGAUCCUGCCAGUCUUGAGUCCGGGAGAGGUGAGUGGAAGUCCUAGUGUAGAGGUGAAAUUCGUAGAUAUUAGGAAGAACACCAGUGGAGAAGGCGGCUCACUGGCCCGGAACUGACGCUCAUGUGCGAAAGCGUGGGGAGCAAACAGGAUUAGAUACCCCCGUAGUCC